UACGUAGGGUGCAAGCGUUAAUCGGAAUUACUGGGCGUAAAGCGUGCGCAGGCGGUUUUGUAAGUCAGAUGUGAAAAUCCCCCGGGCUUAACCUGGGAACUGCGUUUGAAACUACAAGGCUAGAGUGUGGCAGAGGGGGGGUGGAAUUCCACGUGUAGCAGUGAAAUGCGUAGAGAUGUGGAGGAACACCGAUGGCGAAGGCGGCAUCCUGGACCAAUUCUGACGCUGAGGAGCGAAAGCCAGGGGAGCAAACGGG
rnacentral:rRNA from 1 species